rnacentral:tRNA from 58 species
GGCCCCGUCGUCUAGCGGCCCAGGACGCCGCCCUCUCAAGGCGGUAGCGCCGGUUCGAAUCCGGUCGGGGCUACCA